GGAAACCACACAGUCCAGACAUAAGCAGACUCUAAACGGUUUCCAGAGGCGCCUCCCCCUCCUCACCUCCUGGUGUACCUGAAACCCCCCCAGCAACCCUCCAUAUCUCCGGCUCAAUCGCAUUCCUCCGUUCGGCCGCCACAAAGGGAGGACUGUUUGACGACGGCUCUGCCCUGGUUCAGGCUGGUGGAGCUGCUCCGUCCGGAACCGAAGCCUCCAGUCCGGACGUAUUUAUGGCGGAACACCGGUGCUCUGCUGGGGGUGGAGGGGUGAGGAUGGAGGGGUGAGGGAGGGGACAGCCUCCCCCCUGCUUCCCCCCCACAUUAAAGCGAUGAAGAAGAAGUUCGGGUCCAGUUCUGGUGCCGCUGCCGGAGCCCCAGUGGAAGCAUCAGGACGCGGGGAAGCGAUGCGUAAAGCUGCGGUCCUCCGGCGGAGCCAGUGGGAGUGUUCCUCCCGGAGCAGAUGAUCCGCUCACCUUGCCACGGGGUCUGCAGGAGAUUGGUCCAUUGUCA
ensembl:lncRNA